rnacentral:rRNA from 1 species
AUUGAACGCUGGCGGCAGGCCUAACACAUGCAAGUCGAACGAGUGGCGGACGGGUGAGUAAUGUCUGGGAAACUGCCUGAUGGAGGGGGAUAACUACUGGAAACGGUAGCUAAUACCGCAUACCCUCAGAUGUGCCCAUAUGGGAUUAGCUAGUUGGUGGGGUAACGGCUCACAAAGGCGACGAUCCCUAGCGGGUCUGAGAGGAUGACCAGCACAACGGGAACUGAGACACGGUCCAGAUUCCUACGGGAGGCAGCAGUGGGGAAUAUUGGACAAGGGGCGCAAUCCUGAGGAAGCCAUGCCGCGUGGAUGAAGAAGGCCUUCGGGUUGUAAAGUACUUUCAGCGGGGAGGCGUUACCCGCAGAAGAAGCACCGGCUAACUCCGUGCCAGCAGCCGCGGUAAUUC